rnacentral:rRNA from 1 species
AUGAACAAGUUCGUUAGCAUUAUUCAGCAGUAUUGUGCUGGUGGUGUGAACCUUGAUUCACAACGUGAUAACUGCCGUGCUGAAGAUAACCAGAUGGCAUGGAUGCGUUGCUCAGGUCACCAACCUCUCCUAAUUGGACUUGCUAGAUCUUUCCUAAGACAACUAAACUCUUCCAUAAUUCUGUACUUUCCUAAUGAACUCUUAAUAUCCGUCUCUCCCAUGGACUUAUGUUUUAUAUUGUUACUGUAUGCUUACAUCUUGCAUAAAACCAACACCAUUUAUACUUCACACCCUAGAUGA